UGGCUCAGUUGGUAGAGCAUGGUGUUUGCAACGCCAGGGUUGUGGGUUUGAUCCCAC
rnacentral:tRNA from 1 species